UGGUAACUAACCUUUGAGAGCUCUUUCAUCACAUCCUCACUACAAAUAUCAGCCCAGAAAAGAAUUUGAUUCAUUAUUCUCUCCUAUUAUACACACACAUAUUUGAUUCAUUAUCCCUGCUUCUUUUGUUACAUUGAGUUGAUUGAAUUUGUUGUGCUAGUUAGAGAUGAGUGAACCACCAAAAUAUGCUAAUCCUGCUCAAGGAGACUACCAGGGACCACCGGUGGUGGCGCCGCCUCAGUAUGCGUCGCAGCCUCAGAGGAGGGGCACCGGAAUCUUGGAAUGGUGCCUUGCGACUAUGUGUUUCUUCUGCUUGAUGGAUGGAUGCUGCGAAUUGCUCUGCUGUUGUUGUGUGUAAUCAUUAAUCUUUUUUAUAUGACUACAAUGUUAAUGUAUUCUAGAGCUCUUUUCUUUGUCGGAUUAAACCUCAUUCUUUAUGUAUUAUUUUUAUUUUCUUUUGUUUCAGUUAUUGUUUAGUAUAAACACCAAACCCAUAUUCGGCAGUCAAUUGUAUUCGAAAUUUACAUUGCAGUA